rnacentral:lncRNA from 1 species
GGAACAUGUGUACUUUAUUUACCCUCCCAGUUUCGUAAAAAUUUCAAGUAUCAGUAUUUAAAGUUGAGGUGUUUUACAUAAAACCUGUAGAGAGAGCUGACUGCUCUCAAAGGGAAAUAUGGUAACAGUGAGCCACUGUCCUCCCUUGGCCGCUUCGAGAAAGGCAAAGAGAGAAGCAAGCUGGUACACCCAGUUAGGAGAAAGUUUGAAGAGCAGCCUAAAUAGAGAGGGGAGAGAGCUAGAUUGGACUAGGAAUGAAGAGUGGAAUUGAGGGUGUUAGGUGCAGGUCAGGCUGGUCUGCAGGUCAUGCCAAACAAAGUUAGCUGCAGAAUGACCUGGCUUCUCAAACCCUCUGUCUGGUUCUUUUUAUCACCUGUUUGCUUCAAGCCCAAACGCCCAAGCCCCCGCUCAAGGCUGAACACUUAACCCCCUUUGUGCCAACAAGGCAGCUUGCAGACCCAGAGACCCCAUUAGAUUUGGGCUAUAAAAACUCCCUGUGCCUAUUCCUUCCCUUUAUCAUAAAGUUCAUUCAGACUCAGGUGGGUAAAAAAUUUCUAAUCAAGCUUUUACCAGCCUCUCCUCAGGAAUUACCAGCUCCUGGCUACUGAUGAUACCUCUAGUGGAGACCUAUGCCGAAUGGACUAACAUCAUCAUGGAUCUGUGGUGGCAAGGAAUCUUUGUUGAUCUGGUUCCUGAAGUUAUACUGGUCUUCUCUGCCCUGCUAUGGGGGCUCCUUACUUCCCUCCUUCUUUCUCCCACACCGUCCCAUUUCAGCAGCAAGCAGCCAGAAUGAGUUGACGCCCACUCUCAUUUAAUAACAAAGAGGGAGGAAUGUUGGGAGUCACCCCGGCUCCAAAGACUAACUUCCCCAUCCCCCCAAAAGAGCCAUCCAAUGGUGAGCCCUGCUAGGCUCACAUGAUCCUGCCGUCCAAUGGGGAGCCCUGCUGGUUCACCUGAUCCUUACCCUCCAAUCAAAAAGCACCCAUGCCAACUGUCAAACCACC